AUAUCUGUGGUAGUAAAGGACAGAGCAGGAUCGAACUGCAGUGGUAUAAAGGUCGUGAGGGUACUCCUUUGAUUUCCUGUAAGUUUCUUUCAAUGCAUUAAACGUGCAUUAAUGGCAAUAUCUAAAAUACUCUUUUUUUUUGGACUACUGAUUCAAAUGCAUUUAGAUUACAUACUUUUCAUAGUUUUUCCUUCCAGAAUGUAUCCAUCUUCGAGAACCAAGGGUCUGAUGUUUCCGUGGUAUCUGUUCAACCCAAUCCAAACAUUUCCUCAGUCUUCUACAUGUCUGUGAUAUCAUAUCCACCUAGAUCUGUCUCCCUCUUGUGACUGAAAUGUCAAACACAGCUUAAGACACUUGUGACCUGCUAAGAAGAACACACCUUUUUCAUUCUUUUUGAUUUAAUGGUUAUAGGAUGGUGUCAUCAGGACAGCAUAUAAUCUGUAUUUGGAAACUGAGAGCUCAUUAACCCAGACUGUCCACUUGGUCUGAGUCUUUAGUGCAGGGGUCACCAGACACGGUCCUGGAGGGCCGGUUAGAUGCCCAGAAGAUGCCCAUCGUGGAACAUCGUAGGUGUGGUUAAAGCAUGCAGUUGAUCGAGACUGGCCCUUUAAAUCCCUCCAGCUGCCCAUCUCAGGCAUCUCCGGAGGAGACUCGGGUUUCACCAUUGAUCCAAUCAGAGAACCCAGAGUGAUAGAUUUGGAGGAAAAGCAGGAUUUUGACCAGGAUGUGGACACAGCUAUGACGCCACUGUACAAGUUCAGCAGAAUAUGAAUGAUAAAGCUCCAGUGUGUGACCCACUCUCGUAUACAUCAUUUUCUCCACCCUGGUGGCUGGAGUUCCCAUGAUCACCCUCAGCUGCACAGACCCUGAUAGAGACCACCUAAGUGCCACCAUCACCAAUGCUCUAUUAUCAUCACCAUCAGCUCUAUGAUGACUCCAACAGCAGAACCUCAUCUAUCCAUCUAUUAUACCGCUAGGUACUCAAAAGUGGUGUUGUGGACUGUUUCCAAACGAAUGGUCUGAGUCUGACAUGUAAAACCUCUUGGACUGUGGACCACCAUAGUGAGCAUCUCCUAUCAAAUAUAAAUGUUUAGCAAUAACUGACACUCACUAUCUCUUACAGUACAGAUGCAUGUAUCCAAGUUGAUGUGUCUGUUCUCCCCAGACAAGGGCACCACAGGUAUGACUCAGUCCUGGAGGGCCGGUGUCCUGCAGAGUUUAGCUCCAACCCAUUAAACACACCUGAAGCAGCUGAACAAGGUCUUGCUAGGUAUACUUGAAACUUCCAGCAGGUGCUCAACUCCGGCCCUCCAGGUUCAAGUUUGAUGACCCCUGCCUUAGGAGAAAUUCACUAAGGGAAUGCAUUUUUGUGUUGAAAAAAUUUAAAGAAGCUGUUUAAAAAAAAAAAAAAAAAAAAAAGAAGAAAAAAAGUUAAACAUUUAUUUUGCCUAUGCCUCAAGUUACCUCUCUGAAAAACUCAGUUCCAGCUUGAUGCUAUAACUCGACUGUCAAACACGGUUCUAUGCAGUGUUGGGCAGUAACCAGUUACAUGUAACUAAAUUACGUAAUUUAACAACUUAAUGUGUAAUUAAAUUAAUUACUUUUGAAAUGUUAACGAUUACAAAGGGGGGUUAAAUGGUUUUUUUUUUCACACAUACAUAAAGAGGUAUAAUAUAUGUGGUUUAAACUGUUUAUCAUGAUUUAAAUGUAUGCUACUAUGGGAGA